rnacentral:lncRNA from 1 species
UUGGUCUGGCAACGAUGCAGUCGCUGCAAACAUCAUAUGAUUUUUAGGUUAGAAUUUGAGAAUGUUGCGUUUUGGUUUUAUUCGUAUAAUAUUUGUACAGUGUGCGUGUUCUGCAAAACUUUGAGAUACUUUAGUUCUACACGGGCUUCUGAUUCACAUACGUUUCAACCUACGAUUCACUCAGGGGAUAUUUUGUUGAUAAGAUUGUAGUUAAUAGGGAGGAGCAUUGCAAAAUGCCGGAAGAUAAUGAAGAUUUUCUACCAAGAGACUAUCAAGUUGCUCUAAGACAAAUUGCAUUAGAAAAGAACAGUAUUAUUUAUCUACCUACAGGAUCUGGAAAGACUUUCAUAGCGAUAUUGGUGCUAAAGCACUUGCAGAAAUGUAGCCC